ensembl:lncRNA
AAACUAGUUCUGCUGACAGGCUUCACACACUCCUCUCAGAGGUUGGAUGAUAACAGCUCACACUGCAACGUGCACAAGUUCGCUUGGAUUAAAAACAAAAAACAAUCCUGAGAGGUGCUGACUGUGUCCACUCACACAUAUGGAAGCUGUGAUAGGACUUCUGCUUGUGUUGCUCCAAGUUUCAUUUGGUGUGGAAAAUCACUGUGAUGGCAGACAGAAUAACGCUCAGUGUUAUGCAGCUUUGGAUGGAUCUAUAUUCAUCAGGCUGAUGGACAGCGCUGUAGAAAAUCAUACAUACAUGUGGUCUAAAUAUAAAAGUAUAUUAUUGGUAGUGAAGAAUAAACAUGUUAUAAUGAAUACUUUAGAGAAGAGAGCAGAUUUUACUACACAAAAUGGUAUUUAUAGAAUAAAUCAACUAAAGUCGAGUGACAGUGGCCAGUAUCGACUUGAUGUUUUUGUAGAUGGGGGACAAAAAGAAGAACGGAAACUAAAUUUGUCUUUUCAAGGUCAGUUGUUUCUUUUUGGUUUGUCCAUAUAGAGUAAAGUGUACACUCAGAUUAUUUAUAAUCUGUAAACAAUCUCUUACACAGCUCCAGUAUCUUCUGUCCAGCUCGUCCCUACAUGUCUUUCUAUGGGGGAGAAGAAAGUUUCCUGCUCCUCUAAAGGGGACAGUCUUCUCUACAGCUGGACUCUGGAUGGACGCCCUCUGACAGACUCUGACCUCGUCCCAAAGGGCAGCAACACCAACAUUAUUCACCUGAAACUACAAACUGUAGGAAAACUGGUCUGUCAUGUCCAAAACAAAGUCAGCAAAAGCUCUGGUGAAGUGACGUUAACCACUUGUGGUGUGGAAAAUCACUGUGAUGGCAGACAGAAUAACGCUCAGUGUUAUGCAGCUUUGGAUGGAUCUAUAUUCAUCAGGCUGAUGGACAGCGCUGUAGAAAAUCAUACAUACAACUGGAAUAAAGAUAAAAGUAGAUUAUUGGUAGUGAAUAAUAAACGUGUUAUAACAAAUACUUUAGAGAAGAGAGCAGAUUUUACUACACAAAAUGGUAUUUAUAGAAUAAAUCAACUAAAGUCGAGUGACAGUGGCCAGUAUCGACUCGAAGUUUUUGUAGAUGGGGGAAAAAAAGAAGAAGAACGGAUACUAAAUUUGUCUGUUCAAGCUCCAGUAUCUUCUGUCCAGCUCGUCCCUACAUGUCUUUCUAUGGGGGAGAAGAAAGUUUCCUGCUCCUCUAAAGGGGACAGUCUUCUCUACAGCUGGACUCUGGAUGGACGUCCUCUGACAGACUCUGACCUCGUCCCAAAGGGCAGCAACACCAACAUUAUUCACCUGAAACUACAAACUGUAGGAAAACUGGUCUGUCAUGUCCAAAACAAUGUCAGCAAAAGCUCUGGUGAAGUGACGUUAACCACUUGUGGUUACAUCUUCAUAAACUGCACUUUGUCCAAUGGGACAGACAUAUUGCAGUGGGUGCUUGAGGCCACUAACACGUUGUGUGUUGACCCAACAACAGCCCCUAUGGGGACUGUGCCUCUGAUUGGGAUUUCACUCUCUGCUCUGGUCUUUAUCCUCCUUUUGGCUUUAGUCGUGAUCUGUGUUCAGAAGAAAAAGCCAAACAAACCAAAAGAACAACAGGAUGACCAUGAAUUAACCUACGAGGUUGUCUUAAGUGGUUCAGAGGCCGGGGAUGCAAGAGGUGCACAGGUCAGAGGCGGAGGUGGAGUACGGCCAAGUCAAGUUUUCACAGCAACCUCGACAGAUUCAAGUACCGCCAGAUGACUGUGUGUAUGCCAGAGUCUGUAAAUGAAAACAGGGUGUGGCUCUUUUUUUAUCACAGACAGGGGGCACGACAUGAUCUCAGGUUGCUUGAUGGGCUUCCCCGUUUAAUGAUGAAAAAUCUGGGUGUCACCGUUGAGAGGACUCCAAACCCACAUCAAUAAUAUAUAUUUGUUUACCCCCUCUACCACUGCCAUUCUUGUACAUACUCUUCGAUCACUGAAACUCCUGAAACUCAAAUGUCCAGAAUUAGAGUUACCUGCAUUGUUACCAAAACACCUUGAUUCCCCUACAUCAUUCCUAUUUAUACAGCAUCUUUAAAAAUCUGCAUCAACUACAAAAUCCUCCGACUGACAUUUAAGGUCAUCCACAAUGUCACCCCUCCAUAUAGGUCCAGACUGAUCCACACCAUCAGCUCACUAAUAUUAUUCAGAAUCAAGCUCAAAACUCAUCUGUUCAGGACGGCCUUUCUCUCUGUGAUCACAACUGCUGUGUCUAAUCUCGAUAUGUUUUAAAAAUUAAAUGUUGUUGAAUAAUCUUAUUGUAAAUAUUCCAUGUAUAGUGACCCUAAGUGCUAGAAAGAAGCCUUUUUAAAGAUAAAAUAAUUAUAAUAUAUAAUGAUAAUAAUGUAUUGGAUUUGUAUAUUAACUGUAUAUAGUGUCUUUCAUAGACACUCAAAGGGCUUUACAUUGCAUUAUUCAUUCACUCCACACAAACGGGUGGUAAGCUACUAAUGUAGCCACAGCUGCCCAGGGGCAGACUGACUGAAGCAAGGCUGCCAUAGUGUGCCAUUGGCCCCUCCAAAUACCAAAUAUAUCAAUGUAUCUUCUCCUGGAAAUCCCUGUAAGGUUUCCUGAACUAUUAGGCUGAAAUAUUUAGUAGUUAUUUAUAAUUUAAUGUAUAUAAGAAUGUAGUUUAUAAUUGUUUUCCAUUUACUAUUUAAUUUCACUACUUAAUCUGUACAACCGAUAACGUUUCUUCCAUUUAGAAUUUUAAGCAUUAAAGUUUUUCUUUCCCUCAUUAAACUGCAUUUAUUACCAGAUAUUUGCUGGAUGUGUUCAGUAAACUUUGACUCAGAGUUUCAUUGUGUUCACGGAAAAUUUCUAUUUGUGACUCAAUGACCCACAGAGUGAUUUGCUGAGAAAUGUCUUGUCUUUUGAGAAGUCGCACAUAAGCAGAUAUUUUUUUUUUUCUGUGAUGUAAGGACUUCUGCUUUCCUUGCUGGAGUUUUUAUUCUUACAAAACUACUUCAAAUAAAUAUAGCAAUAGGCACUACUACUGUGGCUUU